AAAUGGUAGCUGCUUAAGGCCUGCAGACCUUUGGCAGGGCUGUAAAAAUACAAAUAAUAAUAAAAGGAGAGAGACAUUGUGACCCAGGCAGCAGUGGUAUGCCUGUGCAUGCAAGUCCAUCCGGGGUCUGACUAACUGUCUCACAAGGUCCACAUGGAACUUGUAAAGAUUUGCAAUAAUCCUUUAUUGAAACAAAACAGAGAACUUUACAGAUAGAAAUGGCUCAUACAGCAGGACCUUGGGAGGGGAGACAAGCCAAUGCAUAACUCUAUAUGGAGUAUAAAACUCAGUGAAUCCAACAAGCGUGAGCUCUUCUGGAGGUGAGUGGUGCAUGAAGGCCCAGGAAGCCUUUAUCUGCUCCCCAAAAUGCUCACUUGCAGC
rnacentral:lncRNA from 1 species